rnacentral:rRNA from 1 species
AUUGAACGCUGGCGGCAUGCCUAACACAUGCAAGUCGAACGGUAACAGGCCCUUCGGGGCGCUGACGAGUGGCAGACGGGUGAGUAACGCGUAGGAAUCUGCCCUGUAGUGGGGGAUAGCCCGGCGAAAGCCGGAUUAAUACCGCAUACGAUCUACGGAUGAAAGCGGGGGACCGCAAGGCCUCGCGCUAUAGGAUGAGCCUACGUCUGAUUAGCUAGUUGGUAGGGUAAUGGCCUACCAAGGCGACGAUCAGUAGCUGGUCUGAGAGGAUGAUCAGCCACACCGGAACUGAGACACGGUCCGGACUCCUACGGGAGGCAGCAGUGGGGAAUAUUGGACAAUGGGGGAAACCCUGAUCCAGCAAUGCCGCGUGUGUGAAGAAGGCCUGCGGGUUGUAAAGCACUUUUGUUGGGAAAGAAAAGGGGCCGGAUAAUACCCGGCCGUCUUGACGGUACCCAAAGAAUAAGCACCGGCUAACUCCGUGCCAGCAGCCGCGGUAAUACGGAGGGUGACG